UACAGAGGUCUCAAGCGUUGUUCGGAUUCAUUGGGCGUAAAGGGUGCGUAGGUGGCGAGGUUAGUCAGGUGUGAAAUCUCGGGGCUCAACCCCGAAACUGCACUUGAUACUGCCUUGCUAGAGUACUGGAGAGGAGAUUGGAAUUUACGGUGUAGCAGUGAAAUGCGUAGAUAUCGUAAGGAAGACCAGUGGCGAAGGCGAAUCUCUGGACAGUUACUGACACUGAGGCACGAAGGCCAAGGGAGCAAACGGG
rnacentral:rRNA from 1 species